rnacentral:tRNA from 1 species
UGGGAGAUAGUUUAAGGGUAGAACACUUGACUCUGGAUCAGGUAAUCUUGGUUCGAAUCCAGGUCUCCCAGCCA